rnacentral:rRNA from 1 species
UACGUAGGGUGCAAGCGUUGUCCGGAAUCAUUGGGCGUAAAGCGCGCGUAGGUGGUCAUGUAAGUCCGCUGUGAAAGUCAAAGGCUCAACCGGGAGGGUGCGCCGAAAACUGGGGGGCUAGAGUGCGGGAGGGGAGAGUGGAAUUCCUGGUGUAGCGGUGAAAUGCGUAGAGAUCAGGAAGAACAUCGGUGGCGAAGGCGCUCUGCUGGACCAUAACUGACACUCAGGGACGAAAGCUAGGGGAGCGAAUGGG